UACGAAGGGGGCUAGCGUUGCUCGGAAUCACUGGGCGUAAAGGGUGCGUAGGCGGGUCUUUAAGUCAGGGGUGAAAUCCUGGAGCUCAACUCCAGAACUGCCUUUGAUACUGAAGAUCUUGAGUUCGGGAGAGGUGAGUGGAACUGCGAGUGUAGAGGUGAAAUUCGUAGAUAUUCGCAAGAACACCAGUGGCGAAAGGCGGCUCACUGGCCCGAUACUGACGCUGAGGUGCGAAAAGCGUGGGGGAGCAAACA
rnacentral:rRNA from 1 species